rnacentral:misc_RNA from 1 species
GAUGAAGAACGUAGCGAAAUGCGAUAAGUAAUGUGAAUUGCAGAAUUCAGUGAAUCAUCGAAUCUUUGAACGCACAUUGCGCCCCUUGGUAUUCCGAGGGGCAUGCCCGUUCGAGCGUCAUUAUACCCCUCAAGCCUAGCUUGGUGUUGGGGCCUGCUGUUACCGGCAGCCCUUAAAAUCAGUGGCGGUGCCAUCUGGCUCUAAGCGUAGUAAUACUUCUCGCUACAGGGUCCCGGUGGAUGCUUGCUAUCAACCCCUAAUUUUCUAUGGUUGACCUCGGAUCGGGUAGGGAUACCCGCUGAACUUAAGCAUAUCAAUAAGCGGAGGA